CUUGGUCAUUUAGAGGAAGUAAAAGUCGUAACAAGGUUUCCGUAGGUGAACCUGCGGAAGGAUCAUUAGAGAAAUCUCAGACGGCUGUGCGCCUUUGGGCGGCACGCCGUUUCAAUUUCCACACACUGUGCACCUUCGACGGAAGUGGGGAAACUUGCUCCCGAUCGCUUUCAUUAACCAAGUUAGUCUUGAAUGUAAACCCCUUCAUAAAAGAAAAACAACUUUCGGCAACGGAUCUCUUGGCUCUCGCAUCGAUGAAGAACGCAGCGAAAUGCGAUAAGUAAUGUGAAUUGCAGAAUUCAGUGAAUCAUCGAAUCUUUGAACGCACCUUGCGCCCCAUGGUUUUCCACGGGGCACGCCCGUUCGAGUGUCACAUUAACCCUCGCCAACCCGACAGUAAUGUCGGGGGAAGCGGAUUUGGACGUUUGCCGGUCGUGAGAUCGGCUCGUCUCGAAAUGCAUGAGCGAAGUGAGAUGCAAACACGACGUUGAUAAUUGUCUACGCCUCGUGAGCGUCGAGCGUCGCUCACAAUCGCCGAGAGGCAAUUCCACCGAGUUUGACCUCGAAUCGGGUGGGACUACCCGCUGAACUUAAGCAUAUCAAUAAGCGGAGGA
rnacentral:rRNA from 1 species